GUUGUUGGGUCUGUAACCAUGAAGAGGGAUACUAUAUAAUGUUGUUGGGUCUGUAACCAUGAGGAGGGAUACUAUAUAAUGUUGUUGGGUCUGUAACCAUGAGGAGGGAUACUAUAUAAUGUUGUUGGGUCUGUAACCAUGAAGAGGGGAUACUAUAUAAUGUUGUUGGGUCUGUAACCAUGAGGAUGGGAUACUAUAUAAUGUUGUUGGGUCUGUAACCAUGAAGAGGGGAUACUAUAUAAUGUUGUUGGGUCUGUAACCAUGAAGAGGGGAUACUAUAUAAUGUUGUUGGGUCUGUAACCAUGAGGAGGGGAUACUAUAUAAUGUUGUUGGGUCUGUAACCAUGAGGAGGGAUACUAUAUAAUGUUGUUGGGUCUGUAACCAUGAGGAGGGAUACUAUAUAAUGUUGUUGGGUCUGUAACCAUGAGGAUGGGAUACUAUAUAAUGUUGUUGGGUCUGGAACCAUGAUGAGGGGAUACUAUAUACUGUUGUUGGGUCUGUAACCAUGAAGAGGGGAUACUAUAUAAUGUUGUUGGGUCUGUAACCAUGAGGAGGGAUACUAUAUAAUGUUGUUGGGUCUGUAACCAUGAGGAUGGGAUACUAUAUAAUGUUGUUGGGUCUGUAACCAUGAGGAGGGAUACUAUAUAAUGUUGUUGGGUCUGGAACCAUGAGGAGGGAUACUAUAUAAUGUUGUUGGGUCUGUAACCAUGAAGAGGGAUACUAUAUAAUGUUGUUGGGUCUGUAACCUUGAGGAAGGGAUACUAUAUAAUGUUUUGGGGUCUGUAACCAUGAAGAGGGGAUACUAUAUAAUGUUGUUGGGUCUGUAACCAUGAAGAGGGAUACUAUAUAAUGUUGUUGGGUCUGUAACCAUGAGGAGGGAUACUAUAUAAUGUUGUUGGGUCUGUAACCAUGAGGAGGGAUACUAUAUAAUGUUGUUGGGUCUGUAACCAUGAGGAGGGGAUACUAUAUAAUGUUGUUGGGUCUGUAACCAUGAAGAGGUGAUACUAUAUAAUGUUGUUGGGUCUGUAACCAUGAGGAUGGGAUACUAUAUAAUGUUGUUGGGUCUGUAACCUUGAGGAGGGGAUACUAUAUAAUGUUGUUGGGUCUGUAACCAUGAGGAGGGAUACUAUAUAAUGUUGUUGGGUCUGUAACCAUGAAGAGGGGAUACUAUAUAAUGUUGUUGGGUCUGUAACCAUGAGGAGGGAUACUAUAUAAUGUUGUUGGGUCUGUAACCAUGAAGAGGGGAUACUAUAUAAUGUUGUUGGGUCUGUAACCAUGAAGAGGG
rnacentral:lncRNA from 1 species